rnacentral:rRNA from 1 species
GAAUUCGCCCUUAGAGUUUGAUCCUGGCUCAGGACGAACGCUGGCGGCGUGCCUAACACAUGCAAGUCGAACGGAGUUGAAAGGAGCUUGCUUUUUUCAACUCAGUGGCGGACGGGUGAGUAACGCGUGAGUAACCUGCCUUUCAGAGGGGGAUAACGUUCUGAAAAGAACGCUAAUACCGCAUAAGAUUGUAGUUUCGCAUGGAGCAGCAAUCAAAGGAGCAAUCCGCUGAAAGAUGGACUCGCGUCCGAUUAGAUAGUUGGCGGGGUAACGGCCCACCAAGUCGACGAUCGGUAGCCGGACUGAGAGGUUGAUCGGCCACAUUGGGACUGAGACACGGCCCAGACUCCUACGGGAGGCAGCAGUGAGGGAUAUUGGGCAAUGGGGGAAACCCUGACCCAGCAACGCCGCGUGAGGGAUGACGGUUUUCGGAUUGUAAACCUCUGUCCUCUGUGAAGAUAGUGACGGUAGCAGAGGAGGAAGCUCCGGCUAACUACGUGCCAGCAGCCGCGGUAAUACGUAGGGAGCAAGCGUUGUCCGAAUUUACUGGGUGUAAAGGGUGCGUAGGCGGAUUGGCAAGUCAGAAGUGAAAUCCAUGGGCUUAACCCAUGAACUGCUUUUGAAACUGUUAGUCUUGAGUGAAGUAGAGGUAGGCGGAAUUCCCGGUGUAGCGGUGAAAUGCGUAGAGAUCGGGAGGAACACCAGUGGCGAAGGCGGCCUACUGGGCUUUAACUGACGCUGAGGCACGAAAGUGUGGGUAGCAAACAGGAUUAGAUACCCUGGUAGUCCACACUGUAAACGAUGAUUACUAGGGUGUGGGGGGGUCUAACCCCCCUCCGUGCCCGGAGUUAACACAAUAAG